rnacentral:rRNA from 1 species
CUACGGGGGGCUGCAGUGAGGAAUAUUGCACAAUGGAGGAAACUCUGAUGCAGCAACGCCGCGUGGAGGAUGACGCAUUUCGGUGUGUAAACUCCUUUUAUAUGUCAAGAAAAUGACGGUAGCAUAUGAAUAAGCACCGGCUAACUCCGUGCCAGCAGCCACGGUAAUACGGAGGGUGCAAGCGUUACUCGGAAUCACUGGGCGUAAAGGACGCGUAGGCGGGAUAUCAAGUCAGGUAUGAAAUCCUACAGCUUAACUGUAGAACUGCACUUGAAACUGGUAACCUAGAGUAUGGGAGGGGGAGAUGGAAUUAGUGGUGUAGGGGUAAGAUCCGUAGAUAUCACUAGGAAUACCUAAAGCGAAGGCGAUCUCCUGGAACAUAACUGACGCUAAGGCGUGAAAGCGUGGGGAGCAAACAGGAUUAGAUACCCGGGUAGUC